UACGUAGGGUGCAAGCGUUGUCCGGAAUUAUUGGGCGUAAAGAGCGUGUAGGCGGCCUGGAAGGUCAGCUGUGAAAACUCGAGGCUCAACCUCGAGACGUCGGUUGAAACCACCUGGCUAGAGUCCGGAAGAGGAGAGUGGAAUUCCCGGUGUAGCGGUGAAAUGCGCAGAUAUCGGGAAGAACACCGGUGGCGAAGGCGGCUCUCUGGACCGACACUGACGCUGAGGCGCGAAAGCGUGGGGAGCAAACAGG
rnacentral:rRNA from 1 species